CCUACGGGAGGCAGCAGUGAGGAAUAUUGGUCAAUGGUCGGGAGACUGAACCAGCCAAGCCGCGUGAGGGAGGAAGGUACAGAGUAUCGUAAACCUCUUUUGUCAGGGAACAAAGGCGGGGACGUGUCCCCGGAUGAGUGUACCUGAAGAAAAAGCAUCGGCUAACUCCGUGCCAGCAGCCGCGGUAAUACUGAGGAUGCGAGCGUUCUCCGGAUUUAUUGGGUUUAAGGGGUGCGCAGGCGGUCUGUUAAGUCAGCGUGAAAAGCCCGUGGCUCAACCCCGGCCCGCCGUUGAAACUGGCAGUAUCGAGUUGGAGAGAAGUAUGCGGAAUGCGCGGUGUAGCGGUGAAAUGCAUAGAUAUCGCGCAGAACUCCGAUUGCGAAGGCAGCAUGCCGGCUCCACACUGACGCUGAGGCACGAAAGCGUGGGUAUCGAACAGGAUUAGAUACCCGAGUAGUC
rnacentral:rRNA from 1 species